rnacentral:rRNA from 1 species
GACGAACGCUGGCGGCGUGCCUAAUACAUGCAAGUAGGACGCUGAAGGAGGAGCUUGCUUCUCUGGAUGAGUUGCGAACGGGUGAGUAACGCGUAGGUAACCUGCCUGGUAGCGGGGGAUAACUAUUGGAAACGAUAGCUAAUACCGCAUAAUAGUAGAUGUUGCAUGACAUUUGCUUAAAAGGUGCAAUUGCAUCACUACCAGAUGGACCUGCGUUGUAUUAGCUAGUUGGUGGGGUAACGGCUCACCAAGGCGACGAUACAUAGCCGACCUGAGAGGGUGAUCGGCCACACUGGGACUGAGACACGGCCCAGACUCCUACGGGAGGCAGCAGUAGGGAAUCUUCGGCAAUGGACGGAAGUCUGACCGAGCAACGCCGCGUGAGUGAAGAAGGGUUUCGGAUCGUAAAGCUCUGUUGUAAGAGAAGAACGAGUGUGAGAGUGGAAAGUUCACACUGUGACGGUAGCUUACCAGAAAGGGACGGCUAACUACGUG